rnacentral:lncRNA from 1 species
UACCCAGCUGGUAUGAUUCUCUUUUUCUUCUUCAAACCUGUCUACGAUGGUCAUGGUGACACAUUACUUCAGGCUGUACCCAGACUCUGCCAAGAGGGGAUUAUUACAUACUGCAGAGCCCAGCACCCAGGAUGAAAAGCCAGAAUACAAGCAGUGACCACCACACCUGACAGACCUGUUGCUGCACAUAUCUGUACUCUCCAAUCAACAAAACCUGAUGCUAAAAACAGAAAAGGGGAGAUGUAGGAGAUUGGUCAGGGUGGUGGGAAAAAUUGUAGAAAGAUGCAAACCUUGGAAGGCUGGAAGGUUUUACAAAAGCUUCAGAAUAGGAUUUGGCUGAAGGCAGCCAGAUUCUCUUAUCCUAUGCCUUAAAGCUUAAGUUAGAUAACAAGGGGAUAUAAAGAAACUGAUCUAGGUAAGUUAGUUUACUUAGGCCUUGGAACCUGGCCUUUAAUCAUCUGCAGGACUGCUCUCCAGGGAGGGCGACUAUGUUAAUUAUCCACAAGUGUGUUAACUCAAAG